GACGAACGCUGGCGGCAGGCCUAACACAUGCAAGUCGAGCGGUAGCACAGAGAGCUUGCUCUCGGGUGACGGGCGGCGGACGGGUGAGUAAUGUCUGGGAAACUGCCUGAUGGAGGGGGAUAACUACUGGAAACGGUAGCUAAUACCGCAUAACGUCGCAAGACCAAAGAGGGGGACCUUCCGGCCUCUUGCCACUAGCUGUGCCCAGAUGGGAUUAGCUAGUAGGUGGGGUAACGGCUUACCUAGGCGACGAUCCCUAGCUGGUCUGAGAGGAUGACCAGCCACACUGGAACUGAGACACGGUCCAGACUCCUACGGGAGGCAGCAGUGGGGAAUAUUGCACAAUGGGCGCAAGCCUGAUGCAGCCAUGCCGUGUGUAUGAAGAAGGCCUUCGGGUUGUAAAGUACUUUCAGCGGGGAGGAAGGUGUUGAGGUUAAUAACCUCAGCAAUUGACGUUACCCGCAGGAGAAGCACCGGCUAACUCCGUGCCAGCCGCCGCCGUAA
rnacentral:rRNA from 1 species